CCUACGGGUGGCAGCAGUGAGGAAUAUUGGUCAAUGGGCGCGAGCCUGAACCAGUCAAGUCGCGUGAGGGAUGACGGUCCUACGGAUUGUAAACCUCUUUUGCCGGGGAGCAAGCGUGCGUUCGUGAACGCGCGUCGAGAGUACCCGGAGAAAAAGCAUCGGCUAACUCCGUGCCAGCAGCCGCGGUAAUACGGAGGAUGCGAGCGUUAUCCGGAUUUAUUGGGUGUAAAGGGAGCGUAGGUGGAUUGUUAAGUCAGUUGGGAAAGUGUGCGGCUCAACCGUAAGAUUGCAGUUGAGACUGGCAGUCUUGAGUACAGUAGAGGUGGGCGGAAUUCGUGGUGUAGCGGUGAAAUGCGUAGAUAUCACGAAGAACACCGAUUGCGAAGGCAGCUCACUGGACUGCAACUGACACUGAGGCUCGAAAGUGUGGGUAUCAAACAGGAUUAGAUACCCUAGUAGUC
rnacentral:rRNA from 1 species